GGAUGGAAUGGAGAUGCGGGGGGGUGGGGGGGAGAGAAAAAUCUAGUUAUGUUAGUAUUUGCGGACUGCAGCAAUAAGAACUCAGAAGCUGUCAGUCACCACUCCUGCAGGAGGAUAACUUCUCUCAGGGCUAAUGGAGACAGACAGCUGCCUGUUUCUGCAGGGAAAGGGAUCAGAGCCAAGUGUACAGAUUCUCUGUUUCGACAGAAGUGCCAUUGGAAUACUUCAAGACUCCUGAAUUAGGCACUGGAAGCGUUAGGUCAGGUAUUUGGCUGCUGCAUCUGGAGAAGAUGCACUAGCCUUUCAAAGGGGAGGAGAAAAGAGCACAUACUGCUUGGGUAACAGUCUCUGGCACAAAGGAGGGAGGAAGCCUUCUUCCCCAAAUAGGACUACCAGUGGGCUGGAGAUGUAACCAUGGGCACAAUGGCAGCUGAAAAACCUGCCACACAGUGCAUGUGAUUUCUUUUUUAAAGCCAUUAAAAUUUUAAAGCUUUGUUUAGGAUUUGCCAGUCUCUGCAUGGGAUUUUUCACACUAAUAUACUUUAUAUGCUGUGUCAGUAGGUGUGACCAGCAUAUGUUACCAUCUGUUUCAUCAGAUAUCUAUAAGCAAUUAGUUGCUUUUCAAGCAUUUCAAAAAUAUGAAUGUAAGGAUGUGGAACAGUUAUUAAAAACAAGAUGUUAAUCUGA